CGAAAGUAGUUGCCUGAAAACAAGCUCACAGUGGAUUUAAGCCACUUCCUGGGUAGUUUGAGCUUGUUUGUUUUUCACAUGCAUCAGAUCUACAUGGACAUGUCUCAGCAGACGGGUGGAGCACUUCAUCAUCCACUUCUCCACAGACCAUGUUUUCACGAGGUCAAGCUAUGAAGUGACCACCUGACUGAUGCACACAAGAAAUGGAGGGCAGCAAGCCUGCACGAGAUGGCCCCAUCAAAAAUGAACCACAUAUGCAAAGCCAGCAUGUACAUUAAGUUCGCGCUGACAAGCUGCAGCUGGUUUCAGGUGAAAAAUUCUCUGAGAGCCUGAAGAAAAAACUGCAACCUUUGACCAUCUUACUUGUUUGAUAUUAUGGCCCUUUCCAUGGCAACAGAUUGUGAUGUCAUGCAUGGACAGAUUAUGAGGUCAAAAAUUGCCCAGGAUGGAGCCAGGGGAGGAUGUAGGAAAGAUUCUGGAACUACGUAAAUAUAUUUCAAAGUAUUCAAAAGAAGUGGAAAACACACUUACAUUAAAGGUAUCAAAAGCAUCAAACCACAAGGAAGGUGCUUAUCAUAAACUCAGAUUACAAAUGGCAAAAUCAAGGCACAGGAUAUUUUUUCUGCUUUGCACAGGAAAAAAUGCUUUCAACAAUUUGAAAAUAAUCUUCCACGUGUAUAGCAAACCAAGACUCUGUUCUACCCAUUUACAGAAGGAGAUAUUAAUACAAAUGAAGAGUGAAUCUGAAUGAAGAGACCUUGCAAUGAGGCCAUCUCAAGGCUAUCAAGACCACAAUGCAGUUUCUCAAAUUCCCUGAAGCAGAAAUGCUGCCUACUUCUCUGCAUUUUUCCUUUGUGUAAGGGUCUUAUGCCUGUCACUUGCUAAGGUGAAGAAGAGUCUGUGAACUACUAACAUCAGAUUCCACCUCUGACCUUUUUUCCAGGGUUUUCUUGUCUCCAAAUCUACCACUGUGGCAGAAAGUCCUAAUGCUACUCCCAAUCAUCUUCAUGUACACCAUACUCUCUUGGAAAUUUGAUUCACAGAAAUGAUAAGAUACGCUGGUGUCUUUACCAGGAGGAUCUUCCAACAGAGCAACAUAGAUGAAUAGAGCCAGCAUGGGGGACAGUACUGACAAAGCACUUACUUUGUCUCCAUAUUGGAUGCUGAGGCAUCUAGUAUUUCUAAUUUAGCAUUUUUGCCAGGAACUUUGAAUCCAAACUCCACUUUCAACAUAUACAUGUAAAUAAUUGUCAGGUUAUAUUCAUGAAAACAAGACCAAAACUUAGACCACAGAUUUUCCAGGGAAAAAUGAGUGCUGCAUUUCUGGCAAUUAGGAGCAGUAAAGUAAACAUUUAGUCACCAUUGACUCAUGAGCCGAAAAACACAGUAGUCAAUUACAG
rnacentral:lncRNA from 1 species